UACAGAGGUCUCAAGCGUUGUUCGGAUUCAUUGGGCGUAAAGGGUGUGUAGGUGGCGCGCUAAGUCGGGUGUGAAAUUUCGGAGCUUAACUCCGAAACUGCAUUCGAUACUGGCGUGCUUGAGGACUGGAGAGGAGACUGGAAUUUACGGUGUAGCAGUGAAAUGCGUAGAUAUCGUAAGGAAGACCAGUGGCGAAGGCGGGUCUCUGGACAGUUCCUGACGCUGAGGCACGAAGGUCAGGGGAGCAAACGGG
rnacentral:rRNA from 1 species